GAAUAUUGGACAAUGGGCGCAAGCCUGAUCCAGCCAUGCCGCGUGAGUGAUGACGGCCUUAGGGUUGUAAAGCUCUUUCGGCGGGGACGAUAAUGACGGUACCCGCAGAAGAAGCCCCGGCUAACUUCGUGCCAGCAGCCGCGGUAAUACGAAGGGGGCUAGCGUUGUUCGGAAUCACUGGGCGUAAAGGGCGCGUAGGCGGCUUUGUAAGUCGGGGGUGAAAGCCUGUGGCUCAACCACAGAAUUGCCUUCGAUACUGCAUGGCUUGAGACCGGAAGAGGUUAGUGGAACUGCGAGUGUAGAGGUGAAAUUCGUAGAUAUUCGCAAGAACACCAGUGGCGAAGGCGGCUGACUGGUCCGGUUCUGACGCUGAGGCGCGAAAGCGUGGGGAGCAAACA
rnacentral:rRNA from 1 species